GACGAACGCUGGCGGCGUGCUUAACACAUGCAAGUCGAACGGAAAGGCCCUGCUUUUGUGGGGUGCUCGAGUGGCGAACGGGUGAGUAACACGUGAGUAACCUGCCCUUGACUUUGGGAUAACUUCAGGAAACUGGGGCUAAUACCGGAUAGGAGCUCCUGCUGCAUGGUGGGGGUUGGAAAGUUUCGGCGGUUGGGGAUGGACUCGCGGCUUAUCAGCUUGUUGGUGGGGUAGUGGCUUACCAAGGCUUUGACGGGUAGCCGGCCUGAGAGGGGGACCGGCCACAUUGGGACUGAGGUACGGCCCAGACUCCUACGGGAGGCAGCAGUGGAGAAUAUUGCACAAUGGGCGGAAGCCAGAUACAGCAACGCCGCGUGCGGGAUGACGGCCUUCGGGUUGUAAACCGCUUUCGCCUGUGACGAAGCGUGAGUGACGGUAAUGGGUAAAGAAGCACCGGCUAACUACGUG
rnacentral:rRNA from 1 species